rnacentral:rRNA from 1 species
UACGAAGGGGGCUAGCGUUGCUCGGAAUCACUGGGCGUAAAGGGUGCGUAGGCGGGUCUUUAAGUCAGGGGUGAAAUCCUGGAGCUCAACUCCAGAACUGCCUUUGAUACUGAGGAUCUUGAGUUCGGGAGAGGUGAGUGGAACUGUGAGUGUAGAGGUGAAAUUCGUAGAUAUUCGCAAGAACACCAGUGGCGAAGGCGGCUCACUGGCCCGAUACUGACGCUGAGGCACGAAAGCGUGGGGAGCAAACAGG